AUUCUCGAGAUGAGAAUCGCGUUUGGUGCAAACCCGUUGCCUGAUUCUCAUUCAAAUCAGGAUGAGAAAACUCAUCCCGGCAUGCGAUUCCAUGGAGUGAAAAGAUCUCACUUCACAGAAUCACGGUUCUAGCAAGCCUCCGAUUCUCGCCACGGAGCUUUAAGAUUUACAAACACUUGUGCGGGUUUCACAUGUGAAGGCAGGGGUGUAAGCAUAAUUUCCCUAACAUUAAUCUCAACUGGUUGAGAAAACCCUACCGAGCUCUUCUUUCUCUUCUCCCUUCUUUCAACAGUUCUCCCUUCUUCUCCCUAGCAUCCCUUCGACUUUGUACUCCAGAAGGAUUCCGGUGCCGGUCGCUUCACCAGUUCCAGAUCCAGUGUUCUAUGUCAAAUUCCUGUUCUCUGGUGCCGAUCAAGUUUCAGGUAACAAUUCGCGAUCUAUGCUCCCAAGGGGCGGAAGAUCCAUAUACAGGAACAUGAGCUCUGGAACUGCAGAUCGAAUCAUAGAAACAACAAAGCCAAGCAACAUUACAGAGCAGCAGCAGCAGAAGCAGCACUAGAUUGAUAAUUCACCAUUGAAGGAAUGAGAAAUGAACAUGCAUUCUGAGCCUCAAUUGUUAAUAAAAGUGCUCCUCUCUCUCUCUCUCUUCCCCAUUUGUGUGUGUGUGGGGUCCACUAGUAUGGUCGCCAUAUGAGUUCAUAUAUAGAAGACUGUAACGAGAUAUUAAAGAAUACAAUACAUGAUGACUGAUGAGCUAGCUCCUCCAUCUAUUGUCGGCCUCAAAUUAUCAUGACAUCCCAAAAUUAUAUCUGGAACUGGUAUUAACGAUCCUUUAUGUCCAAAAGCCUCUCACUUUUUUG